rnacentral:rRNA from 1 species
AUGAAUUCCGUCUCUCCAUCGAUUGCUCGGAUGAUUGAAGCAAUUGCAAGUGCAGCAGCGAUUUGGAAAACGUUGAGCAAUAUGUACUCUGGGGCUGGCAAUGUGAUGAUGAUGGUGGAGGUCCAGAGUAAGGUGGAUGAACUCAAGCAAGGGGAGAAAACUGUCCAAGAGUACGCCAGUGAGCUGCAGCAACUGUGGUCUGAUUUGGACCACUACGAUCCAUUGCAAUUGACAUGUUCUAGUGAUAUUGAGGCUGGUGAGGCUUGGCAGCAACGUAGAAGGGUUACACACUUCUUAAAGGGGCUGAAACAGAGUUUGAGCCAAGGAGGGCUGCCAUGUUUCACCAGACAACAUUGCCUACUAUGGAAGAGGCAAUUUCAGCAACGGUCCAGGAGGAGAUUUGCUUGCGGAUGA